UCAGUCUGUAAUAGAAGUAUGCCCUCUGACUGUUUUCCUGUUUGAUUCUUCCAGAUGACUCUGGAUACCACUGAUUUUUCUCUGAAAUGUAUACUACUGAAAACAUGUGAAGCAUUCAUCUGAUAAAGAAAUUUGAAAAAUGGUGGACUGGAGGCACUGGGCAUUAGUUUGGGACCAUGGCAUUAUCUUCCUCUCCACAUCAUCUAAGAAUCCAGGUCCCAGAGAUCCUCCCAUAACAAAGUUGUGCACAUCUAUCAACUGAGUAUUGCUGAGUUACUGCUAAAUGUGCAGGCAUGAAAAUCUUUAACAUGGACCCAAUAUUAGGAUCAAUUCAGUUUCUGAAUCUCAGGAAAGAUAACAGGAAGAAUCUAUCGUGACAAGUAUCAGUGGCCAAGAAUACUAAGGAUGGAACCAAGACUGAAGAUGCAGAUUAUAUGGUGCAAAACCAAGGUGUUCUAUGGAGAAUACCCUUAAUAAAGAACUU